GAUGAACGCUGGCGGCGUGCCUAAUACAUGCAAGUCGAGCGAACAGACGAGGGGCUUGCUCCUCUGACGUUAGCGGCGGACGGGUGAGUAACACGUGGAUAACCUACCUAUAAGACUGGGAUAACUUCGGGAAACCGGAGCUAAUACCGGAUAAUAUAUUGAACCGCAUGGUUCAAUAGUGAAAGACGGUUUUGCUGUCACUUAUAGAUGGAUCCGCGCCGCAUUAGCUAGUUGGUAAGGUAACGGCUUGCCAAGGCAACGAUGCGUAGCCGACCUGAGAGGGUGAUCGGCCACACUGGAACUGAGACACGGUCCAGACUCCUACGGGAGGCAGCAGUAGGGAAUCUUCCGCAAUGGGCGAAAGCCUGACGGAGCAACGCCGCGUGAGUGAUGAAGGUCUUCGGAUCGUAAAACUCUGUUAUUAGGGAAGAACAAAUGUGUAAGUAACUAUGCACGUCUUGACGGUACCUAAUCAGAAAGCCACGGCUAACUACGUG
rnacentral:rRNA from 1 species